rnacentral:rRNA from 1 species
GAUGAACGCUGGCGGCGUGCCUAAUACAUGCAAGUCGAGCGAAUGGAUUAAGAGCUUGCUCUUAUGAAGUUAGCGGCGGACGGGUGAGUAACACGUGGGUAACCUGCCCAUAAGACUGGGAUAACUCCGGGAAACCGGGGCUAAUACCGGAUAACAUUUUGAACCGCAUGGUUCGAAAUUGAAAGGCGGCUUCGGCUGUCACUUAUGGAUGGACCCGCGUCGCAUUAGGUAGUUGGUGAGGUAACGGCUCACCAAGGCAACGAUGCGUAGCCGAACUGAGAGGGUGGUCGGCCACACUGGGACUGAGACACGGCCCAGACUCCUACGGGAGGCAGCAGUAGGGAAUCUUCCGAAAUGGACGGAAGUCUGACGGGGCAACGCCGCGUGAGGGAGGAAGGCUUUCGGGUCGUAAAACUCUGUUGUUAGGGAAGAACAAGUGCUAGUUGAAUAAGCUGGCACCUUGACGGUACCUAACCAGAAAGCCACGGCUAACUACGUGCCAGCCGCCGCAGUAA